AACCUGCCUGGUAGCGGGGGAUAACUAUUGGAAACGAUAGCUAAUACCGCAUAACAACAGUUGUUGCAUGACAGCUGUUUGAAAGGGGCAAUUGCUCCACUACCAGAUGGACCUGCGUUGUAUUAGCUAGUUGGUGAGGUAACGGCUCACCAAGGCGACGAUACAUAGCCGACCUGAGAGGGUGAUCGGCCACACUGGGACUGAGACACGGCCCAG
rnacentral:rRNA from 1 species